rnacentral:rRNA from 1 species
UACGUAGGGUGCAAGCGUUAAUCGGAAUUACUGGGCGUAAAGCGUGCGCAGGCGGUUUUGUAAGACUGUCGUGAAAUCCCCGGGCUCAACCUGGGAAUGGCGAUGGUGACUGCAAGGCUAGAGUUUGGCAGAGGGGGGUAGAAUUCCACGUGUAGCAGUGAAAUGCGUAGAUAUGUGGAGGAACACCGAUGGCGAAGGCAGCCCCCCUGGGUCAAAAACUGACGCUCAUGCACGAAAGCGUGGGGGAGCAAACAGG